rnacentral:rRNA from 1 species
CCAAUAGCGUAUAUUAAAGUUGUUGCAGUUAAAAAGCUCGUAGUUGAAUUUCGAGAUCAGUACGCUGGUCGUGCCUUCGGUAUGCACUGGUGUCACUGGUUUCUCCCUUCUGAAGAACCGUCAUGUCAUUAAGUUGGUGUGGCGGGGAAUCAGGACUGUUACUUUGAAAAAAUUAGAGUGUUUAAAGCAGGCUCGCGCUU